rnacentral:rRNA from 1 species
UACGUAGGGCGCGAGCGUUGUCCGGAAUUAUUGGGCGUAAAGAGCUCGUAGGCGGCUGGUUGCGUCUGCUGUGAAAUCCCGGGGCUUAACCCCGGGCGUGCAGUGGAUACGGGCCGGCUGGAGGCAGGCAGGGGAGAAUGGAAUUCCCGGUGUAGCGGUGAAAUGCGCAGAUAUCGGGAGGAACACCGGUGGCGAAGGCGGUUCUCUGGGCCUGUACUGACGCUGAGGAGCGAAAGCGUGGGGAGCGAACAGG